rnacentral:tRNA from 1 species
CAGGAUGUGGCUGAGACAGCUAAGCAUCUCCCUUACACCGAGAAGACAUUCAUGCAAAUUGAAUCAUCCUGA